UUAAGUUGCUGAUCUCUUGAUUUCAAACACAUUUUAAUGUCUUUUUGUUGUGCAUCUCAACUGCUUAUUACCCCUAGUGACCUCUGUAUCUUCACCUUGGUCUUCCCACUUGGCUCUCAGACCCCACAGAAAAGGCUCCUCUUGGGAACUGCUCCACUGAAUACAGAAACCACUAGACCGGCUGGAUGACUCUUGUCCAGCCUGGGACACCACACAGCGAGAACUUGAGAUUACGGCAGAUGCCCAGGACGGGGAAGAACUGAAGUCGUAUCUAAAAGGAGAGGCUGAAGAGUUCCUUAAAUCACACAAGGAAGCAGUCACAGCAGAAAAGUGACAACAGUGUUUUCAGGUAUUUGAUUACUUGUCAGAGGGAACGGAGAACAGCUGUUCCAAGAAGCAAAAUGAGAACAAGUCAGAGUUUCAAGAAGUCCAGUAGCCAGAGGCUAUUCUAUGGAGUCUGGGUGAGAGAUGACGGCAGCACUGACAGGAAAGAGAUCAGAGAAAUUUUGGAGAAUGACUUGCAAGGACUUGGUGAGGAACUAGCUGAGGAAUGAAAGGACGAGGAGAGGGUGGUGGUGAGGGUUUGGGGUUGGACAUUCAGAAUAUCUUCUGAGUUUCUUCCCAACUCUCAGAUACCGAGGUU